rnacentral:rRNA from 1 species
CCCCGCGUACAUGCCACCGGGGCAUCCCGGAGGCAGGAAAGGCUUCGGCCGGACAGGGAUGGGCAUGCGGCGCAUUAGGCAGUAGGCGGGGUAACGGCCCACCUAACCGACGAUGCGUAGGGGUUCUGAGAGGAAGGUCCCCCACACUGGUACUGAGACACGGACCAGACUCCUACGGGAGGCAGCAGUGAGGAAUAUUGGUCAAUGGUCGGGAGACUGAACCAGCCAAGCCGCGUGAGGGAGGAAGGUACAGAGUAUCGUAAACCUCUUUUGUCAGGGAACAAAGACUGGGACGCGUCCCCGGAUGAGUGUACCUGAAGAAAAAGCAUCGGCUAACUCCGUGCCAGCAGCCGCGGUAAUACGGAGGAUGCGAGCGUUAUCCGGAUUUAUUGGGUUUAAAGGGUGCGCAGGCGGUCUGUUAAGUCAGCGGUCAAAGCCCGGGGCUCAACCCCGGCCCGCCGUUGAAACUGGCAGUCUCGAGUUGGAGAGAAGUAUGCGGAAUGCGCGGUGUAGCGGUGAAAUGCAUAGAUAUCGCGCAGAACUCCGAUUGCGAAGGCAGCAUGCCGGCUCCACACUGACGCUGAGGCACGAAAGCGUGGGUAUCGAACAGGAUUAGAUACCCUGGUAGUCCACGCAGUAAACGAU